UCAAACUUGGUCAUUUAGAGGAAGUAAAAGUCGUAACAAGGUUUCCGUAGGUGAACCUGCGGAAGGAUCAUUAAUGAAUAAAAAGUCGGUUGGAUUUGUUGCUGGCUUUUUUCAACAGCAUGUGCACGAUCCAAUCUGACAUUUAUGCUCAUUUUCCAACCCCUUGUGCACUUCUGUAGAUCCUGAAUGGCCUCUCAAGUAAAUAAUAAUAAUAAUAUUAAUUUACUUGGUUCUGGAGAAUUUGCUGUUGUGUAAUAAAUAUCUUAUGCAUGGCUUAUCUCGUGGCUGUUCAGGUCUAUGUUCUUUUUUAUGCCACAAUUUCAACUGCAUGUCUUUAGAACAUUUGUUUCAUUUUUGAACAUUUAGUACAACUUUCAACAACGGAUCUCUUGGCUCUCGCAUCGAUGAAGAACGCAGC
rnacentral:misc_RNA from 1 species